GAUGAACGCUGGCGGCGUGCCUAACACAUGCAAGUCGAGCGAACCCUCCGGGAUGAGCGGCGGACGGGUGAGUAACGCGUGGGUAACCUGCCCUAUACACACGGAUAACGUACCGAAAGGUACGCUAAUACGAGAUGAUAUAACAAGUUCGCAUGGAUUUCUGAUCAAAACUCCGGCGGUAUAGGAUGGACCCGCGUCUGAUUAGCUAGUUGGUAAGGUAAUGGCUUACCAAGGCGACGAUCAGUAGCCGACCUGAGAGGGUGAUCGGCCACAUUGGAACUGAGACACGGUCCAAACCCCUACGGGAGGCAGCAGUGGGGAAUAUUGCACAAUGGGCGAAAGCCUGAUGCAGCAACGCCGCGUGAGCGAUGAAGGCCUUCGGGUCGUAAAGCUCUGUCCUCAAGGAAGAUAAUGACGGUACUUGAGGAGGAAGCCCCGGCUAACUACGUGCCAGCCGCCGCAGUAAGAC
rnacentral:rRNA from 1 species